UUAAAAAACAUAUUUAUUUUUAUUUUUAAUGUUGUGGGUACACAGUAGGUGUAUAUAUUUCAACGAACAAACAGAUCUUUACAUCAACACGGCUUCUGCUUUUGUGACUGGGGCUUUUAAGAGCACAAUACCACUUUUCAGAAAAAGCUAGACAUGAAUGUAACAGUAUUUUCCAACUCAAGCGUCCCUCUUAUCCCUUCCUCCAGCAAAGAGAGCUUCAGAAACGCAACACCUAUCAAAUAGUUCCUCAGAAAUGCCAGAUUGCUGGGAUUUUAGAGCCCUACUUUUUUUUUUUUUUUCCUUUUUGACAUUUAGACAGAUUGAGUUUGAGAGAGGAAGUGACUCUGAGUCCAGACUGCCCCGCACCACUGUCAGAGGAAAUAACUGAAGUAAAAUGAAGUGAUAAUAUACUGUAGAAUAUUUAACAGAGAGAAAGGCAGAGGAAAAUGGCAAUCUGGGAAUAUACAGCGAAUCCCCAAAAUAGACACAGGCUCCAGUGCCAGAACAAAUGCCAAGUACAGUAGAUCAUAAAAUGGUAAAACGACCUUGCCCUGUGGGCUGUGUGUUGACACAGGAAAAAUGGCUCCCCAAUAGCCGGCAUAGCCGGGUCUUUAUUCGCAGUUUCUGCUAUCGUUUGUCAGGGACCCUGCCAACUUUCCUCUCUACUCCUUUCUGUAUAUUCAUCAGUGAGAGAGCUGGACACAUCAUUUUAAGGGAAGAUGUGAGAGAUAUGAAGAAGCAGCUGUGGAGAUGCUACGCUGGACAUGAAAUGGGUGUGGAAGACAAUGGAAAGCCAGUUGGUCAAGACCCUUGGGAAGAAAAGAAUCUUUAAAAGGUCUCUGUUAGCGUGGGACUAAAUUAUAAUUAGACAUUGUGAAUAAGAUGAAAUACUAAAGAAAGAAAGAAAAUAUGGGGCACAUACAGAACUGAUCAAGAAGGGAUUAUCAAGAGACAAUUACUCAACUACUCAUUUGCAAGUGAGCAUAUUCUCACCCAACACUGUUUUCAGUUAUGAUUUAAUGGAAGUUCUAAUUGAAUAGUUCUUUGUGGUACUCAAAGUCCAAGACAGCAAGUUGUUCUUUUGUAUGGACUCAUACAUUUUCCCAGAAUGAACUGUAAAACACUCAUGUUUUCCCUGAACUGUGGCAAAGUGACUUAUCCAGUUUCUGGCAAAUUUAUUAAGCAAUACAGACUCCCUGCUUAAUCCAUUGAUUUAAACAAUAUUCAGUUAACACAAAUUGGUGAAUAAGCAGAGAUAUAGGUCAGCUGAUUGAAG
rnacentral:lncRNA from 1 species